rnacentral:rRNA from 1 species
GACGAACGCUGGCGGCGUGCCUAAAACAUGCAAGUCGAACGGUGUAGCAAUACACAGUGGCGAACGGCGGAGUAAUACAUGAACAACGUGCCCGGAAGACUGGGAUAGUCAGGGGAAACCCUGGGUAAUACCAGAUGUGGCCACUCUUUGGCAUCUUAGAGUGAUUAAAUGGUUUUUCGCUUCCGGAGCGGUUCAUGGCCUAUCAGGUAGUUGGUGAGGUAAUGGCUCACCAAGCCGACGACGGGUAGCGGGUCUGAGAGGAUGAUCCGCUCGAGUGGGACUGAGACACGGCCCACACACCUACGGGUGGCAGCAGUUGGGAAUCUUGCACAAUGGGGGAAACCCUGAUGCAGCGACGCCGCGUGGAGGAUGAAGAUCUAGGUCUGUAAACUCCCUUUUCAGGGAAAGACUUAGGACGGUACCCUGAGAAUAAGGACCGGCUAACUACGUGCCAGCCGCCGCU